rnacentral:rRNA from 1 species
GGAGGGAUCAUUACCGAGUUUACAACUCCCAAACCCCUGUGAACAUACCACUUGUUGCCUCGGCGGAUCAGCCCGCUCCCGGUAAAACGGGACGGCCCGCCAGAGGACCCCUAAACUCUGUUUCUAUAUGUAACUUCUGAGUAAAACCAUAAAUAAAUCAAAACUUUCAACAACGGAUCUCUUGGUUCUGGCAUCGAUGAAGAACGCAGCAAAAUGCGAUAAGUAAUGUGAAUUGCAGAAUUCAGUGAAUCAUCGAAUCUUUGAACGCACAUUGCGCCCGCCAGUAUUCUGGCGGGCAUGCCUGUUCGAGCGUCAUUUCAACCCUCAAGCCCUCGGGUUUGGUGUUGGGGAUCGGCGAGCCUUUCUGGCAAGCCGGCCCCGAAAUCUAGUGGCGGUCUCGCUGCAGCCUCCAUUGCGUAGUAGUAAAACCCUCGCAACUGGAACGCGGCGCGGCCAAGCCGUUAAACCCCCAACUUCUGAAUGUUGACCUCGGAUCAGGUAGGAAUACCCGCUGA